rnacentral:rRNA from 1 species
CGACUCUCGGCAACGGAUAUCUCGGCUCACGCAUCGAUGAAGAACGUAGCAAAAUGCGAUACUUGGUGUGAAUUGCAGAAUCCCGUGAACCAUCGAGUUUUUGAACGCAAGUUGCGCCCGAAGCCUUUUGGCCGAGGGCACGUCUGCCUGGGCGUCACGUAUCGCGAGGCCUCCCCC